AUUGAACGCUGGCGGCAGGCCUAACACAUGCAAGUCGAACGGUAACAGGAAACAGCUUGCUGUUUCGCUGACGAGUGGCGGACGGGUGAGUAAUGUCUGGGAAACUGCCUGAUGGAGGGGGAUAACUACUGGAAACGGUAGCUAAUACCGCAUAACGUCGCAAGACCAAAGAGGGGGACCUUCGGGCCUCUUGCCAUCGGAUGUGCCCAGAUGGGAUUAGCUAGUAGGUGGGGUAACGGCUCACCUAGGCGACGAUCCCUAGCUGGUCUGAUAGGAUGACCAGCCACGCUGGAACUGAGACACGGGCCAGACUCCUACGGGAGGCAGCAGUGGGGAAUAUUGCACAAUGGGCGCAAGCCUGAUGCAGCCAUGCCGCGUGUAUGAAGAAGGCCUUCGGGUUGUAAAGUACUUUCAGCGGGGAGGAAGGGAGUAAAGUUAAUACCUUUGCUCAUUGACGUUACCCGCAGAAGAAGCACCGGCUAACUCCGUGCCAGCCGCCGCGGUAA
rnacentral:rRNA from 1 species